AACGAACGCUGGCGGCAGGCUUAACACAUGCAAGUCGAGCGAGACCUUCGGGUCUAGCGGCGGACGGGGGAGUAACGCGUGGGAACGUGCCCUUCUCUAUGGAAUAGCCCCGGGAAACUGGGAGUAAUACCGUAUACGCUCUUUGGGGGAAAGAUUUAUCGGAGAAGGUUCGGCCCGCGUUGGAUUAGGUAGUUGGUGGGGUAAUUGCCCACCAAGCCGACGAUCCAUAGCUGGCUUGAGAGGAUGAUCAGCCACACUGGGACUGAGACACGGCCCAGACUCCUACGGGAGGCAGCAGUGGGGAAUCUUAGACAAUGGGGGCAACCCUGAUCGAGCCAUGCCGCGUGAGUGAUGAAGGCCUUAGGGUUGUAAAGCUCUUUAAGCUGGGAAGAUAAUGACGGUACCAGCAGAAGAAGCCCCGGCUAACUCCGUG
rnacentral:rRNA from 1 species